CAGAGAGUGGGAAUGAAACAUAAGGAAAAGAAUGGACUACUAAACAAGCCCAACAUGGAUGACCUUGAAUAAAGAAGAGUUGACCUACUGGAUAAUUUGGCCCACCUGGGCACAACAUAUAACAGAAAACCAUUCCAUCAUCUGCCGCCAGCUGGACCAGUGGAUCUUGGUGCUGCCAGAAAUCGGAACCAUGCGCUGAUUACUCACUCUGUGCUCCACUCCUGUUACCAAACCCUGUUUCUGCCCAGAAUGAAGAUGAAGGUGUAGAACUGAGCUGUCCACAUUUGUUCAGCCUUGACUGAUGCCAAGUUCACAGACUUGCCCAAGAACUGGCUGGAGCAAGGAGGCUCAGCCUGUGCCAGAGGGCAGGAUCCCUCCUCAUGAGGUGGCAGAAAACUGGGACUUUGAUUUCCUUAGAGCUUUGUUCCCAUCAAACGAGCUCUAGGAAUUAGACAUUAGAUUAGCAACAACUUUCUGGGUAAUGCAUGAUCAAAAAGUGUGAGUUAAUGAUACAUUUCAUCUUCUUUCUAUAUACAAUGUAAAGGCCAAUACUAGGGCCAACUGAAUCUUCUUCCAUACCAAGACUGAAUGUAAUCUCACUGUCA